UACGUAGGGGGCAAGCGUUGUCCGGAAUUAUUGGGCGUAAAGCGCGCGCAGGCGGCUUUGUAAGUCUGUCGUUUAAGUUCGGGGCUCAACCCCGUAUCGCGAUGGAAACUGCAAGGCUUGAGUGCAGAAGAGGAAAGUGGAAUUCCACGUGUAGCGGUGAAAUGCGUAGAGAUGUGGAGGAACACCAGUGGCGAAGGCGACUUUCUGGGCUGUAACUGACGCUGAGGCGCGAAAGCUAGGGGAGCAAACGGG
rnacentral:rRNA from 1 species